rnacentral:tRNA from 1 species
UCCACAGUGGCUCAGUGGUAAAGAAUCUGCAUGCAAUGCAGGAGACGUGGGUUUGAUCCCUGACUUUGGAA